GUCCACGCCGUAAACGAUGGGUACUAGGUGUCGGGGGUAUUGACCCCCUCGGCGCCGGAGCUAACGUAUUAAGUACCCCGCCUGGGAAGUACGGCCGCAAGGCUAAAACUCAAAGGAAUUGACGGGGGCCCGCACAAGCGGUGGAGCAUGUGGUUUAAUUCGACGCAACGCGAAGAACCUUACCUGGGUUUGCAUCGCCUGGACAGCCUAUGAAAGUAGGUUUCGGGGCUUCGGUCUCGCCGGGUGACAGGUGCUGCAUGGCG
rnacentral:rRNA from 1 species